AGUGUACCCGCGGCAAGACGGAAAGACCCCGUGAACCUUUACUAUAGCUUGACACUGAACAUUGAGCCUUGAUGUGUAGGAUAGGUGGGAGGCUUAGAAGUGUGGACGCCAGUCUGCAUGGAGCCGACCUUGAAAUACCACCCUUUAAUGUUUGAUGUUCUAACGUUGACCCGUAAUCCGGGUUGCGGACAGUGUCUGGUGGGUAGUUUGACUGGGGCGGUCUCCUCCUAAAGAGUAACGGAGGAGCACGAAGGUUGGCUAAUCCUGGUCGGACAUCAGGAGGUUAGUGCAAUGGCAUAAGCCAGCUUGACUGCGAGCGUGACGGCGCGAGCAGGUGCGAAAGCAGGUCAUAGUGAUCCGGUGGUUCUGAAUGGAAGGGCCAUCGCUCAACGGAUAAAAGGUACUCCGGGGAUAACAGGCUGAUACCGCCCAAGAGUUCAUAUCGACGGCGGUGUUUGGCACCUCGAUGUCGGCUCAUCACAUCCUGGGGCUGAAGUAGGUCCCAAGGGUAUGGCUGUUCGCCAUUUAAAGUGGUACGCGAGCUGGGUUUAGAACGUCGUGAGACAGUUCGGUCCCUAUCUGCCGUGGGCGCUGGAGAACUGAGGGGGGCUGCUCCUAGU
rnacentral:rRNA from 1 species